rnacentral:rRNA from 1 species
AGUGAACGCUGGCGGCAGGCCUAACACAUGCAAGUCGAGCGGCAGCGCGGGGGCAACCCUGGCGGCGAGCGGCGGACGGGUGAGGAAUACAUCGGAAUCUACCCAGUCGUGGGGGAUAACGUAGGGAAACUUACGCUAAUACCGCAUACGAACUAAGGUUGAAAGCGGCGGACCGCAAGGCGUCGCGCGAUUGGAUGAGCCGAUGUCCGAUUAGCUAGUUGGCGGGGUAAAGGCCCACCAAGGCGACGAUCGGUAGCUGGUCUGAGAGGAUGAUCAGCCACACUGGAACUGAGACACGGUCCAGACUCCUACGGGAGGCAGCAGUGGGGAAUAUUGGACAAUGGGCGCAAGCCUGAUCCAGCCAUGCCGCGUGUGUGAAGAAGGCCUCGGGUUGUAAAGCACUUUUGUCCGGAAAGAAAUCCUGUCGGUUAAUACCCGGCGGGGGAUGACGGUACCGGAAGAAUAAGCACCGGCUAACUUCGUGCCAGCAGCCGCGGUAAUACGAAGGGUGCAAGCGUUACUCGGAAUUACUGGGCGUAAAGCGUGCGUAGGUGGUUCGUUAAGUCUGUCGUGAAAGCCCCGGGCUCAACCUGGGAAUGGCGAUGGAUACUGGCGGGCUAGAGUGCGGUAGAGGGUGGUGGAAUUCCCGGUGUAGCAGUGAAAUGCGUAGAGAUCGGGAGGAACAUCAGUUGCGAAGGCGGCCACCUGGACCAGCACUGACACUGAGGCACGAAAAGCGUGGGGGAGCAAAACAGGAUUAGAUACCCUGGUA